GAGAUUCCUCCUCCGGCCGGUGUUGGCCUU
rnacentral:sRNA from 1 species